GGGACAGCUGCCGUUUGAAAGCUCCCCAGGGGAUUAGAAUGGGCGGUCAGCUGAGAAGCACGUGGCUUCACCUGGCCAGUCUCUGAGAAAGACGCCAGGUGUGCACCACAUCCCACAGGUAAGUGUCAUUUAGUAGGCUCAGGAGUCUGGUCUGCUUAAUGCCUGCUUAAGGUGACUUUGAUAUCUUGCAGGUGCAGGAUUUCAGAGGCGUAGCCACCUGGAUGAGAUACUGAUUUUCCUGCUGAAUAGGAGUUGAGAUAGAAUGGAGGAUGGAGAGAGAGGAACCAAAAACAGGGAAGAAAGCUGGAACCAGGUCUGAUGGCUCCAUCUGCAAAUCGGUGAGAAAACCAUCUCCACCUUCUUGGAAGGGGAGGUCACCUCUGAGAAGAGCUGGAAAAGCUUUUGCCAGGCACUACCCGGGAGUGACCACCAGGCGAGUGCAGGUGGGAGAGUCUGCUGGGCCGAGAAGGUCGCAUCACCUAGGAUCGGGGCAGGAGGCAUCUGGGGAGGACAGCAGACAUAAACCUGUUCUGUGACUGUUUCUCCUGGUAACACCCCCCCUCCACAGCGGGGGCAUGAGAUCCAGCCUGGACCUGUCAGAAUGCUUUGUCCUCAGACAGGUAUGUUAGGGGACCUGGAGCAUCCUGGGGCCGCAUGCUCGUCACACAGAGAAAGCUCAUCUGUGGUAAGAGAAGAUAAAGGUGAUGGCAAAGAGACACAGACAAAGAUAUGUUUCAGCCCCUGAGUUGGCCUCUCGAGGGGAUGCCCCUUCACCCCUUCCUCUAUCAUCAUGAUUCCAUUGG
rnacentral:lncRNA from 1 species